GCCCCGCAGCGGGUGAUCGGUACGCGGCGCCAUGGCGGCCCCUGAGCCCCGCUCCCGCCCCGCGCCGUCCGCUUUAUACCCCGCGAUUUGCAUGUCAAUGAGCCCAUUGGCCGCGCCGCGCGGGCCGCGCCGCGCGUGGGCCGAACGGACCAAUGGGCAUCGCGCGCUUUGUCUGCGCCGGGGCGGGGCUGCGCGGCCGCCGGCGCUGCCGGAGCGGGGCGGGCGCGGAGCGGGAAUGCAAUCGGGAUCGGGAUCGGCCUCGCUCUCGAGGCUGACACCGCCCGGAGACUCUCAGUCUGGGCUGUGGGAAGGGGACGUGCCCUCCCUGCAGCUUGCGGCUCCGCGAAGCAGCGUUUCAUGUCAGUCCAACCCUGCAAUGAACCCCCAAACACCCAGCGCCCGUUACGGGUUCAAAGCAUCGGAACACGCGUGAGUGCGGUUCGUCGGGGGCCGUCGGUGCCCCUCGCUGCCGACAGGGACCGACCUGGGCGUGAAAGAGCCAGUCUGAGCUCUGAGCGGGAACCAGCGGGACUGAACAGGCACGGCUGGCCAGGGGCCAGGUCCUCCUUGUCCUGCCCCAUCUUGGUGGAUGGGGAAGCUCCGGGAGCCGGAGUUUGGGUGCCUGCCGGGGAGGACGCGCCCGUUCAGGCUAUGCAGGGCUGUGCUGGACACCAAGGCUGUGCUGGACACCACGGCUGCCCCUCGGGGCAGCCCUUCCCCAGCCCCAGGGGCCGCUCGCCCGCCCUGUGGCCACGGGCAGCCGGGCCCCGAGCGCUCGGUGCCGUCCCCGGGCGCGUCCAGCCCUCCGCCUCCCCUGUCUGGAAGCAGCGGGCAGGCCGAGCUUUGUGCGGGUAACUUGAUGCUGAUGACAGUUGGCAGCUGCAGUUCCCCCGGCAUACUGAGGCAAAUAAAAGCAUUAGGGCUCGUCCCCGAGGAGAGCGACAGGUGUUCGCUCCCGCUCCUUUGUUUCCCUCCUUUUAUUCUCUUCGCUAAUGCAUGUCAUAUUUUUACCCCCCGAGGAAACGGGAGACGCGUCCCCCGCUUGACUCGGCACUGCCGCACGUUCGCCUCCCUCUGUGUGUCCAGCAUAGCUCCGCUCCCGCUCCAGCUUUUCUCCCGGUUUGUUUUGCCAUGGAAAGCCCAGUGGUUUUGGUGGUGCUGAGGUUAUGCUUGCUGAGAGGUCUGAUGUGAGCUGCGGGCGCCCACAGCUGCGUAGAGCCUCGUGACCCCCGGCUCCAUCAUUUGUUACGGAUCCGCACCUGUAGGUCGGUGCCUGGCGCGUCUCGCGUGGUCCAGGGGUAACGGCACGUGCUCUGGGAAGGGCUGGGGUGGCUCUUAGUCAGUCCCACUGCUACUCAAGGCUGCUUUUCAUCUCUUAAGCGCUGUAUAAGCACCCAUUCCUGCACUGUGUUAAUCCAUGUCUGAUAAAAGAGCAGACUGGGAUAGAGAAGUUCAGCUGUGUCUCCUCACAGCCAUCACAGAGGAGCACAGAGAGCUGGCAUGUGGGGUAUCCUGGCUGGAGACUCAAGUUCAGGCCACUCUGCUUUUUGUAUCACAAUGGACAGGAGAUGUUAUUUUCAGAAAGGUAUUUCUGUUGUGUUUCUUCUUUUAUGUUAAAGCAUCAGUACUUGGAUUUUGUCAAAGAGUUUGUCCAGUCGGUGACAAGUUUCCCUGCACCAAGCAGGAGCAGAGUAGGAUGUACGACUAAGUUUGUCCUUCUGCUUUUCAUGUACACAGUUCUCUGCAUAACACAGUGUUGGAAACUGGCUCAUUCUUUUCAUUGAUAUAAUUAAUGCUGGCUAAGCAGAAACGCUGUUUGGAGCAGGCCAGGUACACAACAUUUUUGUAUUUAAGUGAGUAGAGACAUCUGUGACUGCAUUUUGUAUGUGUUUUAUGCAUACUUGGCCUGGCAGGGAAAAACCACAAUUGUAUGGGUGCAAACUACAGUGAAGUAACGGGUGUCACAAUUUUGGAGGAGCCAUCUUCUUUCUGAAGCAAAACUAGGCACAUAAGGUCAGCAGAGGUGUAUAAAACACACUAAUAUACUUACACAUAUUUAUAAAAUACGCAGUAACACACUAUGUAUGUAGUCAUGUGGUAAAAGAUGAACUAAAAGAUUUUGUGAUCUUGUUUUCAGAGAAAGCUUAGCUUUUCCUAGAACUGGGCUGGGGGGAGGUGAGUGAGCAGCUGCCUGGUGCUUGGUUGCUGGCUGGGGUUAAACCACAACACAUAAGUAAUCAGAUGCUCCAACAGUGGGGUUAAUGCUGGUAUAAAUUCUGCUGAUUUACACAAGAGUCACUGCACCACUGUGGCUGCAGGUGCAGUCCCCAAACAUGUCAGGCCUCUUUACUGCAGGUGUUGGUAUCAGCUGUGUUUCAGAGCUAACUUAGGCUGGAGGAUUAACUCCCAAAUUCACCUCAGUUGAAGUUCAGCUGUGUUAGGACUUGGGUGAGGAAAUGCUGGUGGCUGCUGAACAGCAACAAUUUCUCACAAGCCUCUCAGAUCUGUGUGUUUUCGAGCAGUGAGGAGAUGGAGGGGUAGGUUGAGGACUUCUGAAUGCAUGAGAAGAGGAGACUCUACCAGCAGGCUAGCAAAUCUUGGCCAAGGAUGGCUAGAGAGAGUUGGCCGUGGCUAUAACAUCCUAUUUCUGCUCUGACUGGAUGGGUGCUGAUGGCAAGGCAUUGUACUGUUGCUAGCUCUUGUUCUGCAGGAUGUCUUUUUGUAUUGUCUUUGAAAAGCUGCUGAUUAAAUGAGUUGACAAAUGUUGGAGCUGUUUGUGCUGGGCAUUAAAAAUGUAUGUGCCAUAAAUAUCAGGGCAUCACUAGAGCUGCCAUUCUGGAGGAGGGAGUCACUGCAGGCUAUCUCCUCUAGCCCAUGGGAUAAUGUGAUAUUUUUGUGCUACUUUAAACAAGUUCCAUCAUAUCAGGUGAAGUGAAUCAUGGUAACCUCAUGCAUUUUAAUAGAAAUGUCAACUGCAAUCUUGUAAAAGAAAAUGUUCCUUAGAUACUUUGUCCAGUACCUCAGUGCUUGCCCAUGCAUGGUGGUUCCUGAAGGAGAUAUCUUUCACAAACCCCAUCAACUUAUCUGUAUCAUUCUUUCCAGGUUAAACCCAUUCUGCUCUCUGCUAAUGGGGAGGUGUAUGGGCAGUGCUUCCUCCUCUAUGGAGGGUGGGAGUUUAACCUUUGCUAGAAUGGGGAGCUCUGUCCUGUCAGAGACAGGCUCCUACACGUGCUAUAAAUUGCAGUCUGGGCAAGGAACAGCAUAGUUUUAGCAGAGAUAACUGGAUCUGUGCCCUGCUGCAUGUGCUCUCCUGUGAGCCUAUGCAUAGGGAAGAAUAACACAGCAUAUAAUAACAGGCUUUAAUUCUUUGUAGAUGAUGCAGCUGCGGUGGUAAAGGCAGCUGUGGGAGGCAAUCCUGCAGCUUCAGCUAUGUGCCAUGUGUUUUGGAGGGCCAGACUUGGCAGCAGCACUCAUGUUCAUCAGCUGGGGCACAGAAGAAGAGUUUCUGCCAGCCACAACACUAAUGAGUACAUUCAAAAGGGUCUUAUGUCCUUUCACAGAAGAGCCCCCAGACCCCGUUUGCCGCCUGCGAAGGCUUGGAGUCCCUUUGUGUGAGAGAAUGGGCCCUGUUUUCUGCCAUUUCAAAGACUCUGGGCUCAGUGGAGAGGAUUUGGAGAGGCUGAGUUACUGAGCUCCAUCUGGAAGACAAAGCUCCACAACUUACCCUACUUGCAAAAAACACCCCGCUCAAGGAUUUCAGCUAUUGAGGCAGCCAUUAGCAGGAAUGAACUUGGUGCUUUCCCAGUGCCUGCCUCAAGCUGCCUGUCCUCUCUUGGGAUCCACCCUGACCACACAAGCGGUUGUGGAGGUGCGUGGUGUGGAGCAGAAACUCCUGGUGGUGAUGUGGCCCUGGCCAGCUGAGGACAGCCUCUCCCAGCAUAACAAUAAGGUGGCCACAAGUGUCAUGAGGUGCAUUAUUGACACCAUCUAGAAGUAAAAGAACACUUCAGGUUUGAUCCUGGGCAGGGAGCUGCUCCUGUUGUUGGUCCCACUGGUGUUCAGUGGAGCUUCCUCUAGAUUUUGUGGUUUGCUUUGCCUGAUAGUUUUCUCCACCUAUGAGUGUUCUGUGCCCUUUGCUGCAGUGGUUUGCUUGGGGUGGCCCCAGCUCCCAACCCUCUGGAUCUUUGCAGUGGGAUAUUGUGUAUUUUCGACAUUGGUGGUCAUUCUGGAGGUUCCCAUCAGCAAAGGGGGAAGUCCUAAUUUUCAGGCUGAGGACAGAAACUGAGGUUGAGGGUUGUUAUGGGAAAAAUUUGGCUGCAGAACCUGUCUGGGAGGCGCAGCAUCAACCUGGUUGAAAACCGACAGCAACGGCACCUGGAAGGAAUUUUUGGAAGCCUGCUUGUUCUCUGCAGAGUAGAAGCGCUCCUGUGCCAGGUUUGUGCCCCGAUUGCUCCCCUUAGGGCUCAGAGGACCUUUUGGCGUCAAGAGAGGCUGUUGAGAUGGGCUGGAAGACCUCAGUGCUGCUUUGCAGGUAUCUUCACCAGACCUGGGCAAGGAUUUCAGCAGGUGGUUUAGCAGGCGUGCCCCAAGGCUCUUGUCCAUCCACUCACAGGUGAGAAGGAGGUUGUGCACCUCGUGCAUGCACUGAAUGUACCCAGUGCUGUACCUCUGCUGGGCUUCCAGACCCACUUUGGAGUCAGCUGCAUUGGUGAGGAGACAAAGGGGAGUUGGUGAGAGGGUAAGAGCUGACUGGUGUGUUCCUGCUGGGAAACCUUCACCAGGUUUCCUGGGGGGCUCACUCUGAAGCCACUGGACUUUCCUAGAAGAUGCCUCGUUUGCAGGGAGAAGGUGAGCAGGGUGUGAGCCCUGGUGCUCUGCUUCCUACUGCAGAGGCAAAACUACGCCAAAAAGCAGAAAUAGGCUUGGGAAGGAAAAAACACCUUGCCCGAAUUAACCAGUGCCCAGCUCCAUCUCCCCAUCUAGUGGAGAAAGCCGAACACAGGCAGCAGGCCGAGCCUCGGCUGCUUUGGAUGAUGCUUUUGCCAGUCUGGCAGGGGAUCAAACCUGCUGCCACCCUCCUGCCCGGCACGAGCACUCACCCAUCAUCUUGGUGCUCUGGAUGUUCUGGAGGUGCUUCACCGUCAUUUCAAGGAUGUCUGCUUUUUCCAGUUUAGACUGCUGAUAAGGAAAGAGAGCAGCAGUUAGAGGGAAUGAAGGGUUUGCACCAUGCCCAGUUUCUCAAAAAAUGAGAACAACCCCACCCCUCAGAUUUCCCACCAACAAAAGAACAAAAGGCAGCAUAAAAAUGAGCACUUACAUCCAGGUGAAAUGCUCCCACAACUGUCUCCUUCAGCUGGUCUAAGCAGUUAUUAAUCCUUUCCCUUCGCUUCCGCUCAAUGAGGGGUUUCCUUAACUGGCAAAGAAAAGGAGCAGGAAAAUUGCAGUUGGUGUUUUUUUCUUCCCCUCCCUGCUGCAGUUCAGUGAGGUCAGAGAGUGCCAUCCCCUGUGUGAAGCCAGUGUGGGGUGGCACAGGGCUCAGCAGGAACAAGAUGAAGAUGGAUGUGUACCAUCUUCAGCCACGGCCUGUCCCUUAGAUGGCAUCAGCCCUCAAUUCUCCCACCUCCACUCAUUUUAUGCAGGGUUCACCCAAACAAAACAGAGAGAAGCAGAGAAAGGGAGCGGGGAAAAAAACCCACCCGUGUGGGUUAAUUUCAGAGAAAACAUCUUUAUAAUAUGAGGCCAAUAACUGUCCCCCUUUUCUUUCCUGGAAGCAGUGCCCAUAGCCCCAGCACCCAUCAUUCACACGCCUGGUGCAGCACAGAGGGCACGUACCUUCCUCUCCUCCUUGGUGCUGGCGAGCUUGUGGGUGCUGCCCGGGGUGGCUGUGGCAGUCAUUCUAAUCCAGGCACGGGGUGGGAAGGAGGCACUCGGGCAGUGGGUCGCUCCGUUUCCAGUUGGGCUCUUUGCUGCUCCGCCGCUCCCUCUGCUGUAUUUAUAACCCCGAAUUAGCAUGUGAAAGGGAACUGUCCUUGGCGGGACUACUUUUCCCACACGAGGGGUCGAGCCCGGAGGUUUGUGGCCAUCAAUCAAAGCUGACAGGUCACUGCUUCUUUUCAAUGAGCACGCCAGCCCCCCCAAACGGCGACAGAUGUCCGGCCUCCGACGCUGGGCUUUGGAGGGAUCUUUUGUUAGGGAAGAAGGGAAGGAAAAUGGGCGCGCUCUGAGCAGCUUGCACGGCUCCUCGUUCAAUUUGCACAGAUUCCCAGGGAGGGAAACAAUAGCCGGGAAGCGGUUGAGUUACACCUGGGAAAAUGCCUUCUACUCAUCUUUUUCCCCUCUAUUUCCUUGAAGUGAUGCCUGGUUUCACUUACUAACCUGACCCCAGCCAUUUCACAUCUUUGAAACAGCCUCUUAAUUUAAUAAUAGAGUACUUCAGCUAGGAGUUCCCGCUCCCAGGGAUUAUUAUUACAAGGAAACGAUGAUCGAUUAAAAACUGUUGACAGCUGGUUGUUUCCAUCACAGAAAUCCUCUAGGGCAAACAUGGGAACAUUAUUUACCUCUUGGGAACCUGAGUUCUCUGUCGCACAUGGGUGGACGUAGGAAAUAUGUAACUCUUCCAGUUUUUGGCUGCCGUGUAGAAUUUAAUAUUAAACUGACAGGCUAUUGCAGAUGCAAACUAACCCAGAGGUGAGUUAGUCCUGUGGGAUUUUUACUUUGAUUUCCCCCCUGCCAUGCUGAAGGGGGCUUGUCUGUUCGCUCCUCUGGAAUGCUGGUGUGGGAGCAGAGAAGCCUUUGGAGGAGUCUUGGUGUAGAGUGAGAAUGCACUUCUAUACUUCCUCACUUCUGCCUGGUUUGGGGGAGAGUAUGAAGGUGUUUUUCAUGACUGUGCAUUUGCUUUCUGAUGUUUGCUUUGCUAAUGAGCAGGAUUUGGCAGUGUCCUGUUGUGUCCUGCAGGUGAAGCCCUUUGGAUUGGUGUCGAAUGUGUCACCUUACUGAAGUAGGAAGGGGCCACAGUGGCUCAGAGGCACCGUCAGCCCUCCCAACUCAGUGGUGGGAUUUUCCAGCUCCCACUGUAGUGCUGUGGCUGCAGAGCCCACUCCACUCAAGCCAAGGGUGGGAUGUACCCUAGUAAUAAAAGUGAGGACUUCAUGUCCCUUGCUUAACCACAGCGUGGGUGGGUGUGUGUUUGCUUGUGAGUAAAUGCAAACAUGCAGCAUGUCUGCACACCCUGCUGCCUGGGCUCAUCACGAAAACAUGUCCCUGGACAUGGAAUCUGGCAGGCAGAGGCUGUUUGUCAGUCAGAUACAGAGCUGGAGUGCAGCUACCUGGUUUUAUAAGCGCACUAUUUGGCAGAGGCCUGGGUGAGCUGGUGUGGUUGUUGUGCUGGGAGAGGAGGGCUGGGAGGGUGAGGUUAAUAACUUGUCCUUUGUGCCAGGUAAAGGGAGCAGGGAUGGGCCCAUUAUCUCAGGUGUGUCCUCUGCAAAGACAGCGAAAGGAGGUCCCACUGCCCUGUGUUGGAGUCUCUCACAUCAGCCAGCCCCAGCUGAUCAUCAGUGAAGACUCUUUUGGUUUUCCAAGAUUUUUCCAGCCCACUUGGGAAGUGGAUUGUUGCUGGUAUUUAUAGAAGGUGUAGCUGAGGCAUCCAUGACUCCAGCACCUUGGUAUGGAGGAGGCAGUGGGUGGGCUGGAGUACAGGAAGGUUGGGCAGUUUCCUAGGGUGCUCCAGGCUGGAAGCAUGUCACCUGGGAACACAGCUUCUGGCUGGGUUUGGCUCAAAUGGUGGGUAAGGAAGAGAAGUCCACCAUCUGCCCCCAGACACCCCUCCACCAGCACCUUGUGCAGAAAAAGGCACCUUACCAAGGCAGUCAGGGCAGCAGGGGGAAGCCUGAGACCACCUUGGCUCGUGGCCCAACUGAGCAUGGCAGAGGUGUCAGGAAAUGCAGAAUUACCUAAAAAUUCCUAAAAGCGUGUCCUGUGCCUGUUGGCACCCCUCCUUGGGUGGGCAUGGCUAUAGGAUGCUGUGUGUGCCUCCCAUGUUAGUGGUCCCAGAGUCUGGCCAGCCCCCAGUGCCACCAGGAAAGGUGUCUCCAGUCUCUGUAGUGGUGGGACCUUGUUCCUCGCUCUCCCUUCCCUACUUGGCCUUCACUUGCUGCUUCUGCUUCACCUUCCCUCUGCUUCCUUUAUCCUGUGAGCUGCUGCCGAGGUCUGGGGUGAGUGGGAUGCUCCACGAGACCAUGGUGCAAGCUGGUGGCAAGGCUUUGGGUCCAGGGGACAGCCGGGUGGGAGGGGAGGCCACGAGCAGUGUGGUGGCCCCCGGUGCCCAGCCACAGCCUGUACCCAGCCCACUCAGGGUGAGCCCCUUUGCUUGCCCACGGGCAUCUGCUCUGGGUGAGCUCAUUUCAAGGUUCAUUUGUAAGACAGCACCACAGUGAAAAAGAAGAACAGCUUGUGCUGUAAACAGUUAUUUUACACCUCUCAGUCACAGCAAAAGCCUUUAUUUUGGAGGUGGGGAGUGCGGGUGGGAGAGCUGCCCUGGCUUGGGGGAAGGCCGACAUCUGUGCUGGGGAUUGUAGGUACCCAACAGGCCAAUGCAAAUGAGCAUUACAGGGAGCUUACUGCAAAUUCCUGCUUUCCCUUUGCACUGCCACUGCCAGGUUUCACUGAAAAGGGGAUUCUCCUUUGUAAACAAAGCCUCCCUUUUUUUUCCUGGGCUCUCCAAGAAAAAAAAAAAAAAAAAGGAAAGAGAAAGGGGUGAGUGCUGCUUAGAGUUUUCUUUUUUGCUAUUUUUCUACGUUUCACACCCCGGAGAAAGAAAACAACUUUUAACAUCUGUUCCUGCACUUUUUAAGAGGGAAAGAAAGGCUCUUGAAAAGGGGGAAAGUGUGGCAGAUGUUGGCAGGUUCCCUCCAACGCAGAUGUCUUGCUCUGAAGAAAACUUUCUUUGGGGAUUGGCGGCCAGGGCUAAUCUUUGACUCGGGACACGCGACUGCUGAGCGAAUGGAGGGACGUGGGAAAGCGCCGCCGAACAAAGGGGCUUAUUCAAACAAACCUGAGAGCCGUGAACAAUCUAAUAACCAGCAGAGAAAUGGUCAGCGGCCCCGGCCCCAACAGGGAGGGCUUCGGGGCAGCCGGUGGCCACAGGACAAGGGAAUUUGACCGUGUCCCCAGGGCUGCAAGCAGGGGUGUCUCUUCCUUGCCCCCAGUCUGCUCCCUCUGGGGCAUCCAAGGCAGUGCUUUGGCCAAGGACAAUCGUUCUCGAGGUGCUGAAUGGUCUUGGCUGCCCCACGGCGACAGCAGAGGAGAUGGGAGGGCAGGUGGGCUGGGCUGGGCUGCCCCACACACACCAGCCAAGGCAGCAUGAGAGGAGUGACUGUUGGACAGCAGGGAUGUCUUUGGUUAAGCUUUUAAAAAAGAGGUUCUGCCAAGAUAAUAAUUAUAAAAAAACCCCAGUCCUACUGAUUAGGACUGGUUGAAGGAGGCUUGUGAAACUGAUUUUGGUAGGAAAAAAAAAGUGCUUAUUUUAAUUGUAAGCAAAAAUGUUGAGAGAAAAAGGUAUUUUCUGUAAACCUUUCAAUCUCUUUCUUUCUGGCUGAUAAUACAUUUUAAAAUAAGUUUUUGCCAUGAAAGCUGGUAAUAUUUCAGCUUAAGCACUUCAUAGGAAAAAAGGGAGAAGCCCAGAGAGAAGGGAGCAGAGCCAAGAGGAUUCACACAAGAAAGUAACUCCUUCCAGUUUGCUGUUACAGCUGAAGAGCUCUGUAGAUCAUUCCUCUAAUUCCUUCAAGUUUCAUUCUGCCUCAUCUCUGUCCUGGUCCAUUUUCUCUGGGCUCUGGUCAGGGCACAGCCUUUCCUGCCAGCAAGGCUGCCUUGUGCUGGGACAGCUCUGCCUCUUCCCUGCUCAGGGCUGGAGGGGAAAGCCCAGUGAGAUGGAGCUGUGUUGCUCCUUUGGAGGUCAAGCCCUGGGGCAAGCAGCCCAAAACGCUGCUGUGAGUGUCCCCUGUGUUUCUCCUGACAGCAGAGUCCUCCCUGCAUGGCAGCUGGAAAGCAGGAGCCAUCUCAGCUGGACUGAGGAGCCCCAUGCUGCAGGUAGGAUACUGCAUGUCCCCAGAGACACGAGCACCUGUCCAGGCUGGUUCCUCCUGCCUCUCACAGUUUGGGGUGAUGCUGUGGACACCAACUCACAACCUGACAGGACUAAACAGGGGGCCUGUGCAGCACUGGGGCAGACCCAAGUCCAACCUAGGCCCUGGCUGGUUAAUGAAUGGCCUUGUUAACACAGAGGAGCAUUUUGCAGGGAUGGAUUUGCUGUGGGAGAGGGGGAGGAGAGCUGAGCAGGUGCUCCUGAGCACUGCUUAAUCUGCUGCAUGUGUGGGUCAUAGCAGGACCACUUGAUCCUCUCUUCUUUCCAAGCUGGGGAGCAUCCAGGCUGGAUUUGCCUGUAGUUAAGUGACUGCUUGUCCCUCCUCUGAGAUGUCUGCUGGCUGGGUGUGGGGGCAUGGGUGCCUAGCCCUGGGAGUGCUGGUGAGCAGGUGUCACAGGGAUGGACAGGGUGCUCCAGGAGUCCUGCCCCAUCCAGCACUUGCAGCUGUCUGUGGGUUUGCUGGGGCUGGUUUUAUGACAGCAGCUCUGUUUUCAGCACGUGCAGUGACGUGAGGUUUGUGGAGCGAGGAGCAAAGCGUGGGUUUGGGAGCAGGCAGGGUAAGGUGGGGGCAGCUGCUUGCUGCCGGCAUGGGGAGUGGGUUGGCCCUGAUGUGAAACCACAGGGCACCCUGUACACCUUGCAUUCCCUCCCUCGGGUCAAGCUCCAGACCUGCCUUGCUGUGAGCAAACACUCUCUGAGGAGAGGCUGUUUUACAGGGGCUUUAGUCAUUCUGAAUAAAGAGGGUUUUGUCCGGCUCUUUUUCAGAAGGUCAGUUGUGGCUCGAGGUUGAGGUUUAAAACUGAGGGGUAAAGCUCUCCUUCAAAAUGUUUAAAUCUGGAUGCUUCUCAAUAGCUGUAAAUCCCAAGAACCCCGUCCUGAAGCCCUGCGUCACCAGGGGUGUUUUGCUACCAAAAUGUUACAGCAGGAGAGGAAUGUGAGAGCAGCAGGACGUGCCGGCGUGGUGACUGGAUGUGCCGGGUCUGGAGGGUGCAGGCAGUGCCUGGGCGGGCAGGCUGGCUCCCGGCACAGAGGCACCUCAGCCACAGUCUCUUGGGGAUUACUCACUGCUGGAUGGCCCGAGGGCACUGGGGCUACACCUCCAGACUGGCCUCAGUUUGGGACAUUGUACCUGCCGUGUCCCACCUCAGACCCACCUGUAGCAGGGUCUGCAGGGGGACCAUGUGUCCUGCAGCCCGGCCAGGAUGGAUAGAGCUGGAAAAAAGCUGGAGCAAAAAAGCAGGGGAUGAUUUAUUUGUGCUUGGGGCGUGGAGAAGAGCAUUUGCAGUCAUUUCCUGUGUUAAGGAGAAUGGGCUGAGGGCACAGCCUCGAUGAACAGACGCCACCCACAGUGGGACAUGGGGCCAAGGGCACCAUCAGAGCUUGAAGCAAGGGGAGCUAUGGCUGUGCUGGGGAAGGCUGCUCCAAAGACCUGUGUUGGAAUCCUUGGAGCUGGGGUGACACUGUCUGCACCAGGUCGCUGUUUCUGGCAGAGGGCUGGAAAGUGAUGGGGUUUGUGGCUGGGUGAGUGGGGAAGAGGCACAGGGGAUCUGGCAGAUGAGUUUGAUGUCUAUGGUAAGUGGUGGCCUAUCAAGGCAAUAUCCUGUGCAAUUCACCAUGGUGUAGGCAGGGGUAGGAGUGCAGUUGAAGGUUCACCUGCUCCAAAGACAUUUGGUGGAGAGAGAGAGAGAGGUCACAUAUGGCAUUGGACAGUGCUACAUGCAGUAUUUUCAUCAUAGAGAAAAUCCAGCUCCAAAAGUAGCACUGGACAUCCGGAAAUUCUGUUGACAUCUCUCAUCUCCUUUACCGAGUACACCAAAUCUCCCUGGCCCCAGCUCAGCCUCCUGGGUACCAGCUGACUCUACCAUCUUCAGGAGUGAACUCCUGGGAUAGGAAAUAAUUACAAGGCUGGUACCAGCUGAGUAAUUCUCAGCUUUUCUUUCACACACCCCCAUCCAGCCUUCGUGUUAAGGAUUAGCUGACGCUCCUGCCAUUGCUCAAGGUGUCUCUCACCUGGCAGGUUAGCAGCUGGUAAGCUCCACAGCCCCACAGGAAGUCUUAUCUGCUGCUUUGCAGCCAGAAAGCUGCAGCUUGAAAUACAGCUCAUGGCGCAAAAGAGUCCUAUAGGAAGAAGAAAAUCUGAUAAGCUGUGUGGCUGGUGACAGACUGAUAAGGGUUAUCCCCUUGCCUGUGCCAAAGUGGUGGUAGGAGGAAGAAGAGCCAAACUUCACAAAGAUGGCACAGGGGGCUUUCAGGGAGUGUUCAGGGGGAUACUUGAACUUUCCUUAUGUGGCAUCCCAGGAGUUUCUUCAUUCAGGAGGGCAGCCCUGGGCAUUCUCACACUCUGUGUGUGUGAGAUGUUACCAGAUGUCACCUGAGAAUGAGCCUGAUCUAUAAUGUAGCAAAUUCUUGGUUUAUUCAGCAAGAUUUGCUUUCACAACAAGAUGGGUGCCUAACUCCCCAAACAUCAGGACCUGGGGCUCAGCAUCCUGCACCCCACCCCCUACACAUCCCGUUCUGCAACCCCUGCACAUCCCACACAGCCUGUUUCUUCUUAGCUUCUCAGUUCUCGAGGCCACAGAAUUAUCUAAGUUUCACCUUUGUGAGAAAAAUAUCUCUUCUGUGGAUAAAUGCAGCUUUUGUCCUGGCUCAGCCACGCACCAACACUUCCUUUUUAUAGUAUGUGUGUAUACGUGUGCUGACACCACAUCCUGACCCCCUGACACAAAAUACCUUGUCAGCAUGAAUGAGGCAGCAAAGCCAGUCAUCAUCCAUGCUCUGCAGGGAGGGUGAUCUGCAGCCCUCCUGCCCGUGUGCUGUUCUGGGACUUGCCUGGGUGAGUGCCUGGGCUGCUGCUGCAGGGGCAGCAGGACAGCCCGUGGGGGCACCAGGCUUACCAGAAGCAUUUCCUACCAGCUGCCUGUUUCUGGUGCUGCAGGGCUGGGAUUGCAGCACCUGAGGAAGUGGGGAAACACACACUUGGGUGGUUUUUUGCACUUGCUGGUUCAGUCUCAGCACAGCCCAGCUGCUGCCGUGACAGUGGAAGACAUGAGGGUUUAGGAGGGGAGAGCAUGAACCUCAGAGUCUCUGGUUCUUUGAGCCAAGACCAUCCUGGGUUGUUUGUAAAAUUUCAUGUUGUUCUCUAAGCUGGUUUUUUUGCAUCUGUAUUUUUGUAACUAAUUUCUUACCAAUUAAAGCAAAAAGUUUUAUACUGCUUUUUUGUUUACAAAUACUGUCUGGUUUAAACUGUCUCUCCUCUUUAAUUUCUUUACUUUUUUCCCCUCUUCAAAUGUAUCUAGGAGACUGCCUUUUAUUACAGGGAUGAGCAUUUCUUAUUCUUCUGGAGGAACCAAAAGGUGUAGGAAGUCCAGGGACAUAAUCACUUGUGGGUAGUAAAACCAGGGCCCUGACAGGAUGAAGAACAGCCAGGACCUGUGAGAAGGUGGGUGACACUCCAUAGGCCGGGAUCUGGGAAGGGGAAAAGCAGUUUUGGCUUCUCCAUAAUGAGGCACAUAAAAAUACUAACAAAUCACAACCCUUUUUUUCUUUCUUGUCUAUUUUUGGGUUUGCUGUGUCAAAAAAAACAAGAGGCCAUGGCACACAUGAGCUCCCUAAUUUUCCAGAAUAAUACCUGUGACCAGCUGGGUGUCUUGUUGUGUUUCCAAGGUGAUGUUUCUUCCCAUCUCCCCAUUCCAGGUACAUAUGUGUGCACACGUGCAGACAGUGAUACAACUUCACACUUGCACACGGACAAUUUUCACAAGAUACAAUUUUGCCAUGGAAUGUAAAUAAACUCACUUUUGAAGGUGUGUCCUGCUGAGCUGGGGGGAAAGGAGCUCAGCCCUUCCUCAAAGCAGUGCCUGAUUGAAGGUGGGGACAGGCAGAGAGCUCUGGAGUGCCCUCCUCCUCAGGAGCCGGGGAUCUCAUCAGGACAAGGAGAGGCCCCGAAAAGCUUUGGAGGAUGGCCAUGUAGGUGACAGAGGAGCACCUCUAUCCCAUCCCAUGGUAAGGGGGGACCUUCUGCCACAGCAGGAUAUUGGGGAGAGGAGGAAACACCCUUCAAAGGGAAAGGGCACGUGUGGCCUGCUGAAUUACAACUCUGGAAAAGAGGAAAGAUAAACCAGGCGAUGAAUUACUGGGCCUCAUGGAGAGCCAAGGGCAGCCAGCCCUGGAGAGUCAGCUGCUGCCACAGCAUUCCAUGUGGGCACAGCCACUCUGCAGGAGGUACAGUCCAAAGGAAGAAAAGAGGGAUGGCUGCAAGUGUGAUCAGAAGCAUUUUUCCAUGCCUGAGCUGUAGCACACAGCUGACUAAGGUGGCUGGUCCAAGAAGACCCCCAAGAGGUCAAGAGGCAGCUUUGCCCAUUGACACCACUUGCCCUCAGUACAGCAGAGAACCACAACACGUGGAUUUCAGAGCAGCAACAUGCUGCCUGCAGGAAAACAUUACUGCGUGGAGGAGCCUGACCCAAACCCUCCCCAGCAACAUGACAAGGAAGUGCAGGAAGGGGAUGUGGAGACACGUAAUCAAAAAAAAAGCUGAAGACAGAAGCUGUCGGCUCACAAGGAGCUUACAGAUGUUUUGGGAAAGCAGGUCAGCAGGUCUCACACUGAUGCACGGCAGUACUGAGGCAGACCCACUGGGACAAGGUUUUGCCUCGUGGCUUGUAAGACAUUCAUGACAUACAUUCCAUUAAAAAUGUAUUUUUCUUCUUUAAA